rnacentral:rRNA from 1 species
AGUGAACGCUGGCGGUAGGCCUAACACAUGCAAGUCGAACGGCAGCACAGUAAGAGCUUGCUCUUACGGGUGGCGAGUGGCGGACGGGUGAGGAAUACAUCGGAAUCUACUUUUUCGUGGGGGAUAACGUAGGGAAACUUACGCUAAUACCGCAUACGACCUACGGGUGAAAGCAGGGGAUCUUCGGACCUUGCGCGAUUGAAUGAGCCGAUGUCGGAUUAGCUAGUUGGCGGGGUAAAGGCCCACCAAGGCGACGAUCCGUAGCUGGUCUGAGAGGAUGAUCAGCCACACUGGAACUGAGACACGGUCCAGACUCCUACGGGAGGCAGCAGUGGGGGAUAUUGGACAAUGGGCGCAAGCCUGAUCCAGCCAUACCGCGUGGGUGAAGAAGGCCUUCGGGUUGUAAAGCCCUUUUGUUGGGAAAGAAAAGCAGCAGGUUAAUACCCCGCUGUUCUGACGGUACCCAAAGAAUAAGCACCGGCGAACUUCGU